rnacentral:rRNA from 1 species
GACGAACGCUGGCGGCGUGCCUAAUGCAUGCAAGUCGAGCGGGCUACGAUCUUCGGAUUGUAGCUUAGCGGCGAACGGGUGAGUAACACGUAGGUAAUCUACCCUUCAGAGGAGGACAACCUCAGGAAACUGAGGCUAAACCUUCAUACGUUCACUGGUAGGGAUACUGGUGAAGAAAGAGUUACCUUAGUGGUAGCUGCUGAAGGAUGAGCCUGCGGCCCAUCAGGUAGUUGGUGAGGUAACGGCUCACCAAGCCGAAGACGGGUAACCGGUCUGAGAGGAUGUCCGGUCACACUGGGACUGAGACACGGCCCAGACUCCUACGGGAGGCAGCAGUGGGGAAUAUUGGACAAUGGGCGCAAGCCUGAUCCAGCAAUGCCGCGUGUGUGAAGAAGGCCUUCGGGUUGUAAGCACUUUAUCAGGACGAAAGACGUUGGAGUUAAUACUCUGACGUGCUGACGGUACCGUGAGGAAGUAAGACACCGGCUAACUUCGU